UACGUAGGGUGCGAGCGUUGUCCGGAAUUAUUGGGCGUAAAGAGCUCGUAGGCGGUUUGUCGCGUCGACUGUGAAAUCCCGCGGCUCAACUGCGGGUCUGCAGUCGAUACGGGCAGGCUAGAGUUCGGUAGGGGAGACUGGAAUUCCUGGUGUAGCGGUGAAAUGCGCAGAUAUCAGGAGGAACACCGGUGGCGAAGGCGGGUCUCUGGGCCGAUACUGACGCUGAGGAGCGAAAGCGUGGGGAGCGAACAGG
rnacentral:rRNA from 1 species